GGGAUUACCUCAGUAACGGCGAGUGAAGCGGUAAAAGCUCAAAUUUGAAAUCUUCGGAAUUGUAAUUUGAUGGAUAAAAUUGCUACGGUCGAAAGUUCACUGGAAAGUGACGCCAUAGAGGGUGAUAGCCCCGUAACGUCCACUGGCACUAUAAUUUUAUUCCAAAGAGUCGGGUUGUUUGGGAAUGCAGCUCAAAGUGGGUGGUAAAUUCCAUCUAAAGCUAAAUAUUGACGAGAGACCGAUAGCGAACAAGUACAGUGAUGGAAAGAUGAAAAGAACUUUGAAAAGAGAGUGAAACAGUACGUGAAAUUGUUGAAAGGGAAGGGGAGGGAAGAUGUUAAAGGGACUCCUUCAUUGUAGGGAUCCCCCCUAAAGAGUCUUUCCUCUCGCCCGUCUUGAAACACGGACCAAGGAGUCUAACGAUUAUGCAAGUAUUUGAGUCAACCCCCAAAUGCGUAAUGAAAGUAAUUGGUCAACCCUACCCUCCUGUCCUAAAGGGCGGGAGAGGAAGCAUAAUUAUUAGGACCCGAAAGAUGGUGAACUAUACCUGGAUAGGGUGAAGCCAGAGGAAACUCUGGUGGAAGCUCGUAGCGGUUCUGACGUGCAAAUCGAUCGUCAAAUCUGGGUAUAGGGGCGAAAGACUAAUCGAACCAUCUAGUAGCUGGUU
rnacentral:rRNA from 1 species